rnacentral:rRNA from 1 species
CGGGACACGUGGUAUCCUGUCUGAAUAUGGGGGGACCAUCCUCCAAGGCUAAAUACUCCUGACUGACCGAUAGUGAACCAGUACCGUGAGGGAAAGGCGAAAAGAACCCCGGCGAGGGGAGUGAAAAAGAACCUGAAACCGUGUACGUACAAGCAGUGGGAGCCUCUUUAUGGGGUGACUGCGUACCUUUUGUAUAAUGGGUCAGCGACUUAUAUUCUGUAGCAAGGUUAACCGAAUAGGGGAGCCGAAGGGAAACCGAGUCUUAACUGGGCGUUAAGUUGCAGGGUAUAGACCCGAAACCCGGUGAUCUAGCCAUGGGCAGGUUGAAGGUUGGGUAACACUAACUGGAGGACCGAACCGACUAAUGUUGAAAAAUUAGCGGAUGACUUGUGGCUGGGGGUGAAAGGCCAAUCAAACCGGGAGAUAGCUGGUUCUCCCCGAAAGCUAUUUAGGUAGCGCCUCGUGAAUUCAUCUCCGGGGGUAGAGCACUGUUUCGGCAAGGGGGUCAUCCCGACUUACCAACCCGAUGCAAACUGCGAAUACCGGAGAAUGUUAUCACGGGAGACACACGGCGGGUGCUAACGUCCGUCGUGAAGAGGGAAACAACCCAGACCGCCAGCUAAGGUCCCAAAGUCAUGGUUAAGUGGGAAACGAUGUGGGAAGGCCCAGACAGCCAGGAUGUUGGCUUAGAAGCAGCCAUCAUUUAAAGAAAGCGUAAUAGCUCACUGGUCGAGUCGGCCUGCGCGGAAGAUGUAACGGGGCUAAACCAUGCACCGAAGCUGCGGCAGCGACACUGUGUGUUGUUGGGUAGGGGAGCGUUCUGUAAGCCUGCGAAGGUGUACUGUGAGGUAUGCUGGAGGUAUCAGAAGUGCGAAUGCUGACAUAAGUAACGAUAAAGCGGGUGAAAAGCCCGCUCGCCGGAAGACCAAGGGUUCCUGUCCAACGUUAAUCGGGGCAGGGUGAGUCGACCCCUAAGGCGAGGCCGAAAGGCGUAGUCGAUGGGAAACAGGUUAAUAUUCCUGUACUUGGUGUUACUGCGAAGGGGGGACGGAGAAGGCUAUGUUGGCCGGGCGACGGUUGUCCCGGUUUAAGCGUGUAGGCUGGUUUUCCAGGCAAAUCCGGAAAAUCAAGGCUGAGGCGUGAUGACGAGGCACUACGGUGCUGAAGCAACAAAUGCCCUGCUUCCAGGAAAAGCCUCUAAGCAUCAGGUAACAUC